rnacentral:lncRNA from 1 species
CGAGAAUGGAAGAAUUCCUGCCACCCCGACCAGCCCUCAAACCUUGGGGUUCUUAAGGAAACCCAGAUUAAAGUCCAGAUCCAGCUGCACAAAGCUCUGGCUGCUUCGCACGGUGGAGAUGAGGAUGACGCUUCGUUCUUGGCCUUGGAAUUCUUCUACUGAACCCACCUAGUGGGGAAAGAGGCAGGGCCUGAGACCAGCCAGGGG